UACGUAGGGUGCGAGCGUUGUCCGGAAUUAUUGGGCGUAAAGAGCUUGUAGGCGGUUUGUCGCGUCUGCCGUGAAAAUCCGGGGCUCAACCCGGACUUGCGGUGGGUACGGGCAGACUAGAGUGUGGUAAGGGAGACUGGAAUUCCUGGUGUAGCGGUGAAAUGCGCAGAUAUCAGGAGGAACACCGAUGGCGAAGGCAGGUCUCUGGGCCACUACUGACGCUGAGAAGCGAAAGCGUGGGGAGCGAACAGG
rnacentral:rRNA from 1 species